UACGGAGGGAGCUAGCGUUGUUCGGAAUUACUGGGCGUAAAGCGCACGUAGGCGGCUUUGUAAGUUAGAGGUGAAAGCCCGGGGCUCAACCCCGGAAUUGCCUUUAAGACUGCAUCGCUUGAAUCCGGGAGAGGUGAGUGGAAUUCCGAGUGUAGAGGUGAAAUUCGUAGAUAUUCGGAAGAACACCGGUGGCGAAGGCGGCAUCCUGGACCAACACUGACGCUGAGGAGCGAAAGCCAGGGGAGCAAACGGG
rnacentral:rRNA from 1 species